GAUGAACGCUGGCGGCGUGCCUAAUACAUGCAAGUCGAGCGGACGAACCGAAAGCUUGCUUCUCUUUUGUUAGCGGCGGACGGGUGAGUAACACGUGGGUAACCUGCCUUUAAGACUGGGAUAACAUCGAGAAACCGGUGCUAAUACCGGAUAAUACUUAGUACCGCAUGAUUCAUCGGUGAAAGACGGUCUAGCCUUCCCUUAUAGAUUGGUCCGCGCUGCAUUAGCUAGUUGGUAAGGUAACGGCUUACCAAGGCAACGAAGCAUAGCCGACCUGAGAGGGUGAUCGGCCACACUGGGACUGAGACACGGCCCAGACUCCUACGGGAGGCAGCAGUAGGGAAUCUUCCGCAAUGGACGAAAGCCUGACGGAGCAACGCCGCGUGAGUGAAGAAGGUCUUCGGGUCGUAAAGCUCUGUUAUUAGGGAAGAACAAGUAUCGAAGUAACUGGCGUUAUCGUGACGGUACCUAACGAGAAAGCCACGGCUAACUACGUG
rnacentral:rRNA from 1 species